UACGGAGGGGGCUAGCGUUGUUCGGAAUUACUGGGCGUAAAGCGCACGUAGGCGGCUUUGUAAGUUAGAGGUGAAAGCCCGGGGCUCAACUCCGGAAUUGCCUUUAAGACUGCAUCGCUAGAAUUGUGGAGAGGUAAGUGGAAUUCCGAGUGUAGAGGUGAAAUUCGUAGAUAUUGGGAGGAACACCAGUGGCGAAGGCGGCUCACUGGACCGGAACUGACGCUGAUGCGCGAAAGCGUGGGGAGCAAACGGG
rnacentral:rRNA from 1 species